rnacentral:rRNA from 1 species
AGAGUUUGAUCAUGGCUCAGAGCGAACGCUAGCGGCGGGCCUAACACAUGCAAGUCGAGCGGGGAGCAAUCCCAGCGGCGAACGGGUGAGUAACACGUAGGUAAUGUGCCUUUGGUGGGAAUAACCGUGGGAAACCUGGGCUAAUGCCACCUAUGUCCUUCGGGAUGAAAGUCGAAAGACGCCAGGGGAUCGGCCUGCGGCCCAUUAUCUAAUCCUAGUUGGUAAGGUAACGGCUUACCAAGGGUACGAUGGGUAGCUGGUCUGAGAGGAUGAUCAGCCACACUGGGACUGAGACACGGCCCAGACUCCUACGGGAGGCAGCAGUGGGGAAUAUUGCGCAAUGGGCGAAAGCCUGACGCAGCCAUGCCGCGUGAGUGACGAAGGCCCUCGGGUCGUAAAGCUCUGUCGGGAGGGACGAAGGGUGGCAACACUCUGACGGUACCUCGCAAGAAAGCACCGGCUAACUCCGUG